rnacentral:rRNA from 1 species
GGCCGCGACCAUACCAAGUUGGAAACACCGGUUCUCGUCUGAUCACCGAAGUUAAGCGACGUUGGGCCCGGUUAGUACUUGCAUGGGUGACCGGCUGGAAAUACCGGGUGUUGCAGCCGUUC